UACGUAGGGUGCGAGCGUUGUCCGGAAUUAUUGGGCGUAAAGAGCUUGUAGGCGGUUUGUCGCGUCUGCCGUGAAAAUCCGAGGCUCAAUCUCGGACUUGCGGUGGGUACGGGCAGACUAGAGUGUGGUAGGGGAGACUGGAAUUCCUGGUGUAGCGGUGAAAUGCGCAGAUAUCAGGAGGAACACCGAUGGCGAAGGCAGGUCUCUGGGCCACUACUGACGCUGAGAAGCGAAAGCAUGGGGAGCGAACAGG
rnacentral:rRNA from 1 species